rnacentral:rRNA from 1 species
UACGAAGGGGGCUAGCGUUGUUCGGAAUUACUGGGCGUAAAGCGCACGUAGGCGGGUUGUUAAGUCAGGAGUGAAAUCCUGGAGCUCAACUCCAGAACUGCCUUUGAUACUGGCAACCUAGAGACUGGAAGAGGUUAGUGGAAUUCCCAGUGUAGAGGUGAAAUUCGUAGAUAUUGGGAAGAACACCAGUGGCGAAGGCGGCUAACUGGUCCAGCACUGACGCUGAGGUGCGAAAGCGUGGGGAGCAAACAGG